AUUGAACGCUGGCGGUAUGCUUAACACAUGCAAGUCGGACGGCAGCAUAGUUUGUAGCAAUACGAACUGAUGGCGAGUGGCGGACGGGUGAGAAACGCGUAGGAAUCUGCCUUAUAGAGGGGGACAACUAGAGGAAACUCUAGCUAAUACCGCAUAAAGUCUAAGGACCAAAAGCUGGGGCAACCUGGCGCUAUAAGAGGAGCCUGCGUCCGAUUAGCUAGUUGGUAGGGUAAGAGCCUACCAAGGCGAUGAUCGGUAGCUGGUCUGAGAGGAUGAUCAGCCACACUGGGACUGAGACACGGCCCAGACUCCUACGGGAGGCAGCAGUGGGGAAUAUUGGACAAUGGGGGCAACCCUGAUCCAGCAAUACCGCGUGUGUGAAGAAGGCCUUCGGGUUGUAAAGCACUUUAGGUUGGGAAGAAGGUAAGUUGUUUAAGAGAUGACUUAUUUGACUGUACCAACAGAAUAAGCACCGGCUAACUCUGUGCCAGCAGCCGCCGCAG
rnacentral:rRNA from 1 species